rnacentral:tRNA from 1 species
UCCCUGGUAGCUUAGACAGUAAAGCGUCAGCCUGCAAUGUGGGAGGCCCAGGUUCGAUCCCUGAGUUGGGAA